UACGUAGGGUGCGAGCGUUAAUCGGAAUUACUGGGCGUAAAGCGUGCGCAGGCGGUUCGUUGUGUCGGUGGUGAAAUCCCCGGGCUUAACCUGGGAUGGCCAUGGAAACUGGCGAACUGGAGUGUGGCAGAGGGGGGUGGAAUUCCGCGUGUAGCAGUGAAAUGCGUAGAGAUGCGGAGGAACACCGAUGGCGAAGGCAGCCCCCUGGGCCAACACUGACGCUCAGGCACGAAAGCGUGGGGAGCAAACAGG
rnacentral:rRNA from 1 species